rnacentral:lncRNA from 1 species
CUAUCAUCUCCUCCUGGUGGCUCCGGCUCCUGGUGGUAAGUCCUCCUGGGCCUGGAUCUUCUGCCUUUGGUAGGGGUUCAGACUGUUUAUUUGGAUGUCCUUUGUUACAGCUUUUGGUUGUUUUUUCAUUGUCAGCUUUGUUGAGGAACUUCUGUUUGUUUGUUCCUUCCUUGAGCCUUUUGGUAAGUACUUACAAAUGGGAAGUCCAUUUUCUAAGGGGACUGCCAAGGGGCCACCCCGCUCUGGGACUUCUGCUGGUUUUAUGUUUAAAGAAUACAGACCUCCUAAAUGUAGAUUUUUGUCCUGCUGGAUUCACAUUAUUCAGGAUGAUUUAAGGCUUCACAGCCCACUUUGGGGCUCUUUUGAGCUUCCAAAACUUGUGUUUUUGCACGCUAGAUUUGAGAACCUCAGAUUUAAGACCGGAAGUAAGAUCUUUAAUUUCUAGAGUCAAGCACACCACCUUCUGGCACACCUGAUUAAAAACGAUGGCCCUGGAAGCUGUAAAUAUUUAUAAAGAACAGGAAAAUCUUACUAAGUUUGUUUGACAUCCUGAGAACUUGGUUUGGUAGCCAUCAGGCUGGGAGCCAACAUAUGGCUGGGCAGAAAUGGAGGUUAAACUCCAUUUGCAGCUAAGCUUCUACCAAACUGCCGCCAGCCUCAGAAGAAUUACAUUGGCCAUUAGAAAGUAUGUUCCAAUUAGAUAAACCAUUUAAGAAAUGCACUUAAAAGCAAAGUCUUCAAAAUUCUGCAAUAGACUUAUCGAAGAUGUUUACCCUUAAAAGAUCUUGACGGUAGAGCCUUCCUCUGCUCUGCUCUGCUCUGUAGUCUUCUUGCUCAAAUGUGGCCUAAAGUCUCCAAAGCAAACCGCUUUCCCUCCUGUGUGGGAUGUGACACACUGGGAAUAAACCUUCCUGGUGACGAGGGACCAGCGAUGCUCAAAAUUAAGGCUUCCUAUCAGGAAAGCACCUUAGUUGAGUUUCACACAAAGGCAGUAACAACAGAAUCUAUAAAGGUUAUGGCACAUGUGGAUGAAGUCCAUUCUGCUUCUGCAAAAAAAGAAAUUGACCCCUCUUGCUAGACUCUUGCCAUCCUGAUAUCCUUGUAACAUGGCAACAGUCUGCUCCUGUAUCAGAGAAAUUAAGGUGGGUAAACGAUGGCUGUAAAUUGAAUGAACAGUCAGGGCCAUGGGAAACCCAAGACAAUGCUUUAAUGACUGAUCAGCAAUGCUUUCCAGUAUUUGAUCAACACUGCUUUUGGAGAAAGAUCUUGAUCAAAAGAGAAAAUGUGAAAGGUGACAUGAGUGGAGCCAUAGUAAAAUAGAGUCAGUGCAGCCAUUUCAGAGGAAUUGCCCUGCACAUCUUAUUUUCUUUAGCUUCCAGACUGGACCAAACCACCAACGUUCCAAGAAGCCAGUAAGGACAAGAAUAUCCUGUUUUGUUAUGGAGCUGCCAGGCGUUGCUGCUUGUCUGUUUGGAUCAUCACAUAUCACCCACCAGCUGCUGCCAUGCCUCAGUGGUCUGCAAACACCCAUGUACUGCUGCUUUUCUGGACUCUUCAAGUGCUACGCGUUGCCCGGUCCACUGCCAGCCACGGUCCUCUCAGCAG